rnacentral:lncRNA from 1 species
UAUCUUUCAAUUUAGGAAAAAAUUUGGAAAAAACUCCCUUGUGUUUCACUCUUUCUCAUUUAGUACUCUAUAGUUUAAAGUGUAUUAAGUUAGUACUCUAUAGUUUUAUAUUUUUUCACUUUAAUACCCUAUAGUUUAAAGUGUAUCAAGUUAGUACCUGUGGUUUCACACUUUCUCACUUUAGCACCCUGUGGUUUAAUAUUUCAUUAAGAAAAAAAUAAAAACACAGAGUACUAACUUGAUAUAAAAAUAAAAUCACAGAGUACUAACUUGAUACACUUUAAACCACAGGAUACUAAAAUAAAAAAAUGUAAAACUAUAGGGUAUUAACUUGAUACACUUUAAACCACAUGAUACUAAAAUAAAAAAGUGCGAUAUCACAAGAAGGGUUUUUGAAGUUUUCCCAAAAUAUUUUUCAAUACCCUUCCAAGUAGGUCUAAUUUUAUGAAUACCCUUUACAAUUUUAAAAUUUUAUAUUUGUCCUUCAAAAGUAUGAAAAGUUUCAAAAAUACCCUCACCCGUAGGAGGAAUUCUACACUGUCACACUUGCACCACGUCAUCAAUAACAAGCCAAUCACAUUUCUUCUUUUUAAACAAAAGUACAAUAAAAAUACUUUUUUACAAUCAUGAUGGGACAUAUAUUCUUAAAAGGAUUAAUUUGAUUGGUUUGUUACGCCACGUCACUAAUAUACCCGUUGCAUUCUAGAAUUUUUCCACCCGUAGCAAUCCGUCGUAUUAGCUUCAAAAUACCAAUUUAACCCUCUAUUUUAUUAUAAUUACCACCCUCAUAAAUUUUUUU